rnacentral:lncRNA from 1 species
UUUUUCGCAAAUCUGAACCAAAUAACUCUUGCAUGUGUCACAAAGUCAGAUAGGUGCCAUAUCUCACAUGUAUAAACCAUAAAUCUCUUCUAUAUUACACAAAACCAGAUUUCACUUUCACUUGAGUGAAUUCCAGAAGUAAUCAACUCUAUAUGAACCAUAAAUCUCUUCCAUAUUUCACAAAACAAGAUUUCACCUUCACAAAUCUAACACUGAACAAAAAUCCAAGCCGAGCACAAAUUCAGAAAAAAAAAACAAAGAACAUUGUCAGCCCUGAUUUCUUUCGACGCUCCCAAAUCUUCAGAGGAUAAUCGCCGUUUAUCUAGGUAAAAACCAAUAUCAUGCAUAACAAAGAAAAACUAACUCUGAACAGAUGCAGAUAGGUUAGGGGCGCUGGGCUCCAUGACUCACCAGAGGCAGCUGGUGGCGGAAGUGCUUGGAGUCGCGGGAUCCGGCGCCGACCGUGAGCUGCGACCCGCUGUGGUGGGUGGCCGUUGUGGUUCCCAGGCGAGGAUGGCGGCCGGGCAAAAAGGAUGUCGGAGGACGGACUUGUGGUGGGCAGGAUCGAGGAACCUCGUCGGCGCAGGUCACCCCAAUGCCGACAACAGUGGAUCCGUCUUCCGCCGGUGUGAUUCGGCCUCACUCCUAGCCAUCCGCCUGGUACAGCGGUGCCGUCGCCAGUCCAGGGCUCCUCUCACGAGCCACAGGAGAGAAAAGGGGAAGAGAGAGAGAGGGGGUGUAUUUGGUAGCAUGUAUUGUCCUAGCCUAGUUGUU